CCCACCCCUGGUUGGAUUGGACAAAAUUCAAGGGAAGUAAUAACCUUUAAAGGGAGAAGAUUUCUAUACCUGCCAAAUGAUAAAUAGAAAUUUUAUUUCAAUGCGCCGCAGUAGGGGGCAUUGUGUUUCUGACAAACACAUCUCUUGUUUUCAAAUUGUGUAUAGCUUCAAACCUAGAUAUUUAUAUAUUUACAUUUAGCAUCAUGCAGGUGUCCUGUACAAAAUUUGUUCAAAUUUUAUCUACGGGAUCACAUGGUUAAUAUACACUUUUUAAGCAAAAUAGCUUCAGGUGUAAUACUUGGUAUGUUAAAUUGUAUUAUAGUUUUCUACUAAGUAUGUUUAAAUCAUGCUCCUGUGGGUAUUACGGGCCACACCCGGUGGGUUUAUAGCGUUAUAGAGACUAUUAAUGAACAAUAUUUAUAUAAAACUUCUCUGAAACCACAAGUCACGGAGAUUUAGUAUUUGGUAAAUAGCAUUAUAUUUUCAAUAUAUGGUCUUCUACAAAGUUUGUUCCAAUCAUACCCUUGGGGUCAAAAUUUUCCAUGCCAGCAUGUUAACUAUAGAGUUUAUUAACAAAAUAACUAGAAAUUUUACUCUCUGAAACUAUAUGACCCAACCACAGGAGGGAAUCUUGUAUUUAUUUUUUGGUAUAUAUGCUAUAAUAGCAUAUAUACAAAAAAAAUACCAAAAAAAUACAAAAAAAUACGAGAUUCCUUCCUGUGGACCCAACUAUAGUAUUUUGUAAUUAUGUAGCAUCCUCUGGUCCUCUACUUAGUUAGUUCAAAUAAUGUUGAAACUGGCCAUGCCCCAGAUUUCACAUUAAUAUUGACCAGGGGUCGCAUGUUUAAAUGGACUUUAUAAGCAACAUCAUUUUUCUGCUAUCAUUGCCCUCAUUUAUUUGUUUAAUGAUGUGAUUGUUUAUAGGUGUAUGUGCUUCCAGAAGAGUUCACUGAGCAUUCACACAUCUCCUACUGUAUGUAUGUGUUCUGUGUAUGGAGUGAUUAGUGUAGAACAGUUCACUGAGCAUUCACACAUCUCCUACUGUAUGCAUGUGUUCUGUGUAUGGAGUGAUAAGUGUAGAACAGUUCACUGAGCAUUCACACAUCUCCUACUGUAUGUAUGUGUUCUGUGUAUGGAGUGAUUAGUGUAGAACAGUUCACUGAGCAUUCUCACAUCUCCUACUGUAUGUAUGUGUUCUGUUUAUGGAGUGAUUAGUGUACAACAGUUAACUGAGCAUUCACACAUCUCCUACUGUAUGUAUGUGUUCUGUGUAUGGAGUGAUUAGUGUAGAACAGUUCACUGAUCAUUCACUCAUCUCCUACUGUAUGUAUGUGUUCUGUGUAUGGAGUGAUUAGUGUAGAACAAUUCACUGAGCAUUCACAAAUCUCCUACUGUAUGUAUGUGUUCUGUGUAUGGAGUGAUUAGUGUAGAACAGUUAACUGAGCAUUCACACAUCUCCUACUGUGUGCAUGUGUUAUGUGUAUGGAGUGAUUAGUGUAGAACAGUUCACUGAGCAUUCACACAUCUCCUACUGUAUGUAUGUGUUCUGUGUAUGGAGUGAUUAGUGUAGAACUGUUCACUGAGCAUUCACACAUCUCCUACUGUAUGUAUGUGUUCUGUGUAUGGAGUGAUUAGUGUUUUACUUUGGAGUUCUGGGGUCCUGCUCUGAGUAAAUAUUAUAUUAUAUGCUUCAGACCCCUAUAUACACAGUUGGGUGUAAAAGGAGUUUUAGUUCAUGCAUGUUUAUCUACAGUGUUUCAUUACCUUGUUCGUAUGGUGUAAACUUAAGGCAUUGUAAGGAUAAGGGUUGUCUGUAACAUAGUUAUUUUACUUGUUUUUGAUAAAGAUUUAGGAUUUUGUAAAAGGAUUUCAAAUCCUUUUUUUAUUUCUCAUCAGUUUUUGGAUUUAUUCUACUGGCAUGUAUUUAUUUGCUUAUAAAGGUGAUACUGGAAUAUGGCUUUAAGGACUUUACGUUGGCUUGUGUAUGCAGCAGAUCUGGAUGUACAGCGUACACUCUGUGCUCCGUCCAUUAUUUGUCUUAGUUUUGAUUUAGCUGUCACAUGGUGGAAGGCUAUGUUUUCUCCUAUUGAACAACUGCUAUUGUGUGGUUCUAUAUUACCACAAGUGAGUCCAAUUGUGUUAUACUCGUGUUCUAGUAGAAUUGUACUCAUGUGCUGUCUCUGACACAGUGACCUACAAUCAUGGUUGUUUUCAGUGCUUCUGAAUUAUUUGCAAACAGUUUACCUGUAUUUUUUUAUGCCUUGCUAAAGAUUGAUUUACAUGAUUUGCCAUAUAUAUAUAUUUAUUUUUAUUUAUUGAGUUUUAUUCAUUUAUAUAUUAUUUUCUCACUUAAUCCUGUGAAGAAAUAUGCAUUAUUUUAGUAUGUGCCCUUGUUGAGUGUUAGGUACUUAACUGUCUGUGGUGUGAAGAAAGAGGAAGCUUGUUUUUGAUGUCAUCAUAUCCAUUGAUUGGUUACCAUCACCACAAGUUUGAUAUGUGUGUGUCUAAUGCAAAUAAGCAUCUAUAGAAUAUACAUUUCAGGAGCAUGUCUUAAUAAACAUUGUAUGCCACUAGUUACGAUGUAAUCUUAGAUUAUAAUAUCAAUGCCCAAACCUCUAGGAUUUAGUAAUUUCAAUUAUUCUAUUCACCUCCUUUCAAUAUUUUACAUGCUCUUUAAUUUAUGAGCAUAGUGAUUAUAAAUAUGCAUUUAUUGUGAGUUAAAAAUUGGAUUGUAACUUAAAUUUGUCUUAUGGUCUUUGAUAGUACAGGAUCCAGUAGUUAAUGUCCUUGUUUUGAUAAUUUACAUCAGGUUUGCAUAAAUAAUUCCUGAUUUUGAUUGAUAUACGAUCCCACCUAGCGACCCUAUUAUCAUGCACUGCAUGCUGUAGCUGGGCUGUGUCCAUGUAUUAUGUAUAACAAUUUAUAUAAGCAAAUUCCAUGUAGGCAUUGUUAUUGUUAUCGGCAAUUGUUGAAAUAAUCGUGCUACAAUAAGCAGUGUUUUAGUUCAUUCCUAAGCUAUUUAUGUAGGAACUAGUACAGUGUUUUGUUUCAUUGCAUACCAGGUAAAUAAAGUCUUCAAGCUAU